GUGGAUUAGAUACCCUAGUAGUCCACGCCCUAAACGAUGCGAACUGGAUGUUGGGUGCAACUUGGCACUCAGUAUCGAAGCUAACGCGUUAAGUUCGCCGCCUGGGAAGUACGGUCGCAAGACUGAAACUCAAAGGAAUUGACGGGGGCCCGCACAAGCGGUGGAGUAUGUGGUUUAAUUCGAUGCAACGCGAAGAACCUUACCUGGCCUUGACAUGUCUGGAAUCCUUGAGAGAUCAGGGAGUGCCUUCGGGAACCAGAACACAGGUGCUGCACGGCCGUCGCCAGCU
rnacentral:rRNA from 1 species